rnacentral:rRNA from 1 species
AUUGAACGCUGGCGGCAGGCCUAACACAUGCAAGUCGAGCGAGCGGCGGACGGGUGAGUAAUGUAUGGGGACUGCCCGAUCGAUGGUGAUAACUACUGGAAACGGUAGCUAAUACCGCAUACUAUCGGAUAACCCAUAUGGGAUUAGCUAGUUGGUGAGGUAAUGGCUCACCAAGGCGACGAUCCCUAGCGGGUCUGAGAGGAUGAUCAGCCACACGGGGACUGAGACACGGACCAGACUCCUAAGGAGGCAGCAGUGGGGAAGAUUGCACAAUGGGCGCAAGCCUGAUGCAGACAUGCCGAGUGUAUGAAGAAGGCCCGAGGGUGGUAAAGUACGUUCAGUCGGGAGGCGUUACCGACAGAAGAAGCACCGGCUAACUCCGUGCCAGCAGCCGCGGUAAUUC